rnacentral:rRNA from 1 species
UACGGAGGGGGCGAGCGUUAUUCGGAAUCAUUGGGCGUAAAGGGCGCGUAGGCGGCCCCGUAAGUCUUGGGUGAAAGCCCUCGGCUCAACCGAGGAAUUGCCUUGGAUACUGCGGGGCUCGAGGCUGGAAGAGGGCAGUGGAAUUCCCGGUGUAGCGGUGAAAUGCGUUGAUAUCAGGAGGAACACCGGCGGCGAAGGCGACACUCUGGUCCGUAUCUGACGCUGAGGAGCGAAAGCUAGGGGAGCAAACGGG